rnacentral:misc_RNA from 1 species
GUGGGAUUGAGAGCGAUGCAGUUAUUUAUUGCUGUUUGGGUGUUGCAUUAUAUCAUUGAGCUGCAAUUACGGAAGUGGAGAAAGUUCUGCCAAGGUAGAUCUACUUGUGACUUGUGCAUAUUUUUCCUGUGUGUUACGUCAGAGCUGUUCUGUAAAUUGUACAACACAAGCAGGUGGCCUGCGCUGUAUCCCUGUCCUGUGCUGUAUAGCUGUCCCGUGCUGUAUCCCCGUCCCGUGCUGUAUCCCCGUCCUGUGCUGUAUAGCUGUCACGUGCUGUAUCCUCGUCCUGUGCUGUAUAGCUGUCCCGUGCUGUAUCCCCGUCCUGUGCUGUAUGGCUGUCCCGUGCUGUAUCCCCGUCCUGUGCUGUAUAGCUGUCCCGUGCUGUAUCCCCGUCCUGUGCUGUAUAGCUGUCCCGUGCUGUAUCCCCGUCCUGUGCUGUAUGGCUGUCCCGUGCUGUAUCCCCGUCCUGUGCUGUAUAGCUGUCCCGUGCUGUAUCCCCGUCCCUUGCUGUAUAGCUGUCCCGUGCUGUGGCUGUGUUCCCCAGAGCGCUGCAGUUCCCCGGAGAGGGCUGGCUACGUCUGUGUGUGGCCAACUGUAGCCUGAGCCUGGUCACCAUACAGCCGGACGGCCUUGUGGUGCUGGAGAUGAUGGGAGACCACGGCCACGUGCCACCUCAGCAG